AAACCUCCUGCUCGUACACGUGGACACCUACCCUCCGGACGGGUAUAAACCCGGGAAACUGGGUAUAAUCCCCGAUAGAUCUCGGUCGCUGGAAAGCUCCGAGGUCGAAAGCUCCGGCGCCAGAGGAUGGGUCUGCGGCCUAUCAGGUAGUAGUGGGUGUAGCGUACCUACUAGCCUACGACGGGUACGGGUUGUGAGAGCAAGAGCCCGGAGAUGGAUUCUGAGACACGAAUCCAGGCCCUACGGGGUGCAGCAGGCGCGAAAACUUUACAAUGCCGGCAACGGCGAUAAGGGGACCUCGAGUGCCAGGUUACAAAUCUGGCUGUCGUGAUGCCUAAAAAGCAUUGCAUAGCAAGGGCCGGGCAAGACCGGUGCCAGCCGCCGCGGUAACACCGGCGGCUCGAGUGGUAACCGUUAUUAUUGGGUCUAAAGGGUCUGUAGCCGGCCGGAUAAGUCUCUUGAGAAAUCCAGCAGCUCAACUGUUGGGCUUUCAGGAGAUACUGUCUGGCUCGAGGCCGGGAGAGGUGAGAGGUACUUCAGGGGUAGGGGUGAAAUCUUGUAAUCCUUGAAGGACCACCAGUGGCGAAGGCGUCUCACCAGAACGGACCUGACGGCAAGGGACGAAAGCUAGGGGCACGAACCGGAUUAGAUACCCGGGUAGUCCUAGCCGUAAACGAUACUCGCUAGGUGUCGGCCACGGUGCGACCGUUGUCGGUGCCGUAGGGAAGCCGUGAAGCGAGCCACCUGGGGAAGUACGGCCGCAAGGCUGAAACUUAAAGGAAUUGGCGGGGGAGCACCACAACGGGUGGAGCUUGCGGUUUAAUUGGAUUCAACGCCGGAAAAUCUUACCGGGACCGACAGCAAUAUGAAGGCCAGGCUGAAGACUUUGCCGGAUUAACUGAGAGGUGUUGCAUGGCCGUCGUCCAGUUCGUACUGUGAAGCAUCUUGUUAAGUCAGGCAACGAAUCUAGACUCGAUUAU
rnacentral:rRNA from 1 species